rnacentral:lncRNA from 15 species
CCAGCCACAGGCUCACAUGUACAUUGAGCCAAAGCUAAUUGUAUAAUAUUGUGAGGACUGGACUCAUUUACAGGCAGCAGAGCCAAAGCUAAAUGUUGUAUUCUCUUAUUUUUUCAUAGAAAUAUAAUUUGCAAUUUCUUGUAGUAAAUAUUGACUCAUAUUAAGAUUUUAUAGAACAUAUUCUAUUCAGUAAAUAUUGAAUGUACCUGAUUUGUGUCUGUAUAGAUCUACUUAUUGUCAGCGACCGACAGAUGGAGCAAACUGGGUUGUAGUGGGUGUUGAGUUGAGCUGCAGGCCGCGCCCCUCCCUGCCUGNNNNNNNNNNNNNNNNNNNNUUGUGUCGCUGAUAUGGAGCGAUAUCAGCCGCCUGUCGGGGCCCCCUUCAGCUCGGGGCCCUAGGCAAUUGCCUGGGUUGCCUGCCCCGUUGCGGCCUCUCUGUGUGCAUCCCUAGUAGAAACACAUUUUUACAGCACUGUAAUUCUUUAUGUUUGUGUCACAGUGAUGGAUGACGACGAUGAGGAGCUGGAGAGAGCGAUGAAGAGCAUAUCACCCACCAAGGAACUGGCACAGUGUUUCCCACCGUGCCGACAGUGAAGAGACCUGUAACCAUUCCUCCUGAGCUGCAGGUUCUGGUGACAGAGGUUGCUCAUCCCAACAAACUGAGUUCUUUCAGCGUGAACUUCAGCUAACCGAGCGCAGAGUGGAAGACAGAGCGGAAAAGAAGAGGAAACUGCCGG